UGGGGAAUUUUGGACAAUGGGCGCAAGCCUGAUCCAGCCAUGCCGCGUGUGUGAAGAAGGCCUUCGGGUUGUAAAGCACUUUCGGACGGAACGAAAUCGCGCGAUCUAAUAAGUCGCGUGGAUGACGGUACCGUAAGAAGAAGCACCGGCUAACUACGUGCCAGCAGCCGCGGUAAUACGUAGGGUGCGAGCGUUAAUCGGAAUUACUGGGCGUAAAGUGUGCGCAGGCGGCGCCGCAAGUCGAGUGUGAAAGCCCCGGGCUUAACUUGGGAAUUGCGCUCGAAACUAUGGUGCUGGAGUGUGGCAGAGGAAGGUGGAAUUCCACGUGUAGCGGUGAAAUGCGUAGAGAUGUGGAGGAACACCGAUGGCGAAGGCAGCCUUCUGGGCCAACACUGACGCUCAUGCACGAAAGCGUGGGGAGCAAACAGGAUUAGAUACCCUGGUAGUCCACGCCCUAAACGAUGAUGACUAGUUGUUGGAGGAGUUAAAUCCUUUAGUAACGCAGCUAACGCGUGAAGUCAUCCGCCUGGGGAGUACGGUCGCAAGAUUAA
rnacentral:rRNA from 1 species